AUGUCCUCUUUCUUUUUUUCAGAGAUCACCCAGAAAAUGAGUGAAAUCUCUUCAGUUAUGCCACUUCAGAAGGAGGAGCUUAAAUUCCCCCCAUCAAAAUCGCUGAGCCAUAGCAAAGCAACCCUGGAGACUUCCAUUCUAACAAUGCCAGUAUUCCAAAAGAAGUUUCUUAUGCCUUGUUCUUGUGAGCAGAACCAUUUUCUUCUUUGAUUAAACUGAGAAGAAACUUCCUUUCAUCAAUUAUUCUUUUGCUACUCUUUGUAGGUUCAUCACCAGCCUCUACCAGUAGUAAUAAUCACAACAUUCAAUCUGUGCCCGAGUGGAAAGUCUCAGUGCUUAAGGUUACCAUGUCAUUGCCGGCAGUCUAAAGGCAUGCUCAUUGGCGAGCUGGACACGCACCCUGAGAGGCGAGAUGUUUCCACCUCAUUAUGUUGAACAGCAGGAAUUCUAAAUUCUGUCAGAAAAUAGGUCAAUGUUGGGGGGCACAGAAGGGCCCUACAAAUGAAACCAUCUGGCUGGUGAUAAAGAAAAAUGGCUGUACUAUCACUGAAGGUACAGCACUGUGUAUGAAAAGUGGGUAAUUAAUCAUUUUUGCACACUGGCAUUUCUAUAUGAUGAAAUAUCUACCAGCGAUGAGAUUUUACAUUUUAUUUUAUAAUUUACAUUGAGUAAAAAUUAAUUUUUUUUAAAUUAAUUUUUAAAAAAGAUUUUAUGUGUUUACUUGAGAGAGAACAGGAGAGUGAGAGAUAGCAAGAGCACAGAGGGAGAGGGAGAAGCAGACUCCUUGCUCAGCAGGGAGCCUGAUGUGAGGCUCAAUACCAGGCUCUGGAAUCAUGAACUGAGCUGAAGGCAGACGCUUAACUGAUUGAGCCACCCAGGGGCCCGUAUAAAAUUUACAUCAGGGUAUAAGUCUGUGAGUUCUAACAAAUGCAGGUAACUCUCACCAUAAUCAACUACAAGCAAAGUAGAGGAAAGUUGUCUCACCUCCAAACAUUCCUUUGUGCUCCCCAUUUGUAAAUAUCCCCCACUUUCUAACCCACAAGCAACCAACCACUCAUUUAUUCUCCAUCACUAUGUUUUGGGCUUUCCUAGAAUUGCACAUAAAUGGAGUAAUGCGGCUUUGAAUGCUGGCUGCUUUCAUUUAGGAAGAGUUAGCAAUGAUUUUUAAAGUUUUUCACACAAUAAAAUAAUUCCUAGACUUUUGAGAACUAAUUUUUCCCCUGUUUGACAACUUGGGCAGGAGUGAACUAAGCCAAGAAAGAAAGAGAGGUGGGGAGAACUUUCCUAGCUUUAGUCCUUUGCCCACGUUGUCCCCUCUCAGGGCUAAAAGUGAGCAUACCUCAUCAUACUGUUGAGGGAACUGUGGCCCAGCAUGGAAGGGUUAUGGCAAAGUCAGGGCAAGAAUUCAAUAUUGAAUAUCAAUAUUCAAUAUUCAAUUCAAUAUUGAAUUCAGUAUUCAAACUCCAAGUGCAAUUCUCCUUUGAUUGUACUUCUAGCUGCACAACAAUGCAAAGCUUCUCCUAAAAUGAAAACUAAAUAUAAGACCUGCUAUAAAGAUUUCUUCUGUAGGCUUCCACUUAAAUUUUAACUUCAAAUGCAAAUAAAUCAUCAUCAAGGCAAAGUAAGCCAAACCCUAAUAUGAUUCAUCUUUAAUACAGAGUAUGCUUACUUUAUGUUUUAGUCCAUUUGAGUUGCUCUAACACAAUAUUAUCAUCUGGUAGCUUAUAAACACCAGAGUUGUUCUAGAGUCUGGGAAGUCGAAGACCAUGGUGCUGGCAGAUUCAGAGUCUGGUGAGAGCUGGCUUCCUGGUUCAUAGAUGGCUGUGUCCUCACAGGGCAGAAAGGGUGAAGGAGCUCUUUGGAGUCUCUUUUAUAAGGACAGUCAUCCAUUCAUGAGGACACAGUCCUCCCAAAGCCCCACUACCCUAUAGUCAUUUCAUUGGGAGUUAGUAUUUAACCUAUGAAUUUUAUGGGGACAUAAGCAUUCAGUUUAUUGCACUUCAUAUUAUAUAUCACAUAAGGAAGGGAACUGUUACAGAGUUUUCUUAAACAUUUAAGAAAAACAAAGAUUGUGAUUUGAGCAAAAAGUGCAAGUACCCAACCUCUCUCUUUCUCUCCCUCUCCAUCUUGCUAUCUGCUGCCACUUACACGCUGAUGUAGAUAAUAAGAUACCAAUCCUAGCUUUGAUAUUGUAUUAAAACCUCAAAAGAGUUUGACCUUAAAAUAGAGCAUGAUUUUACGGUGACAUGUGUUUGGAUGUGAAUGAGCAGAUUUAUGGGGUUUUUGUUGUUGUUUUUUCAUGGAACUCUUUGGCUUCUUAACUGAGCCAGAUCUGGGAGUCAGGAAACUUAUGUUUCACUUCCAGUUACUCUGAAUUUCUGUCCCUCUGCCAAAGAUGUCAAUCAUGACGCUACAGACUAUAUUCCAAGUGAAAUCAUCUUUUCCAACUCCCAUGAAAGAGCCAGCCCCCUACAAAGACCAUGGGGACUCCAAGUCAAGUUGAUUGCACCAGAAAUGGACUCCUGACACAAGGGUCAACAGUUCACAGGAUGGAUAGCAAACAAGAUGGGGCCUGGUUCAAAAUAAUGAGCAAAACUGGUUAAAUAUCUUCUCUCAAUAAUUCAAAUUGAAAUGAGCACU
rnacentral:lncRNA from 1 species